rnacentral:rRNA from 1 species
UACAGAGGGGGCGAGCGUUGUUCGAAAUUACUGGGCGUAAAGGGCGCGUAGGCGGUGUGUCAAGUCAGGCGUGAAAGCCCCGGGCUCAACCUGGGAAUUGCGAUGGAGACUGCAAGGCUUGAAUCUGGCAGAGGGGGGUAGAAUUCCACGUGUAGCAGUGAAAUGCGUAGAGAUGUGGAGGAACACCGAUGGCGAAGGCAGCCCCCUGGGUCAAGAUUGACGCUCAUGCACGAAAGCGUGGGGAGCAAACAGG